CGAAUCCCUAAAAGACCGUCCCAGUUCGGAUUGCAGGCUGCAACCCGCCCUGCAUGAAGUUGGAAUCGCUAGUAAUCGCGGAUCAGCAUGCCGCGGUGAAUACGUUCCCGGGCCUUGUACACACCGCCCGUCACACCAUGAGAGUCGGGGACACCCGAAGUCCGUAGCCUAACCGCAAGGGGGGCGCGGCCGAAGGUGGAUUCGAUAAUUGGGGUGAAGUCGUAACAAGGUAAC
rnacentral:rRNA from 1 species